AACGAACGCUGGCGGCAUGCCUAACACAUGCAAGUCGAACGAGGCCUUCGGGUCUAGUGGCGCACGGGUGCGUAACGCGUGGGAACCUGCCCUUAGGUUCGGAAUAACUCCCCGAAAGGGGUGCUAAUACCGGAUAAUGUCUUCGGACCAAAGAUUUAUCGCCUUUGGAUGGGCCCGCGUUGGAUUAGCUAGUUGGUAGGGUAAAAGCCUACCAAGGCGACGAUCCAUAGCUGGUCUGAGAGGAUGAUCAGCCACACUGGGACUGAGACACGGCCCAGACUCCUACGGGAGGCAGCAGUGGGGAAUAUUGGACAAUGGGCGAAAGCCUGAUCCAGCAAUGCCGCGUGAGUGAUGAAGGCCUUAGGGUUGUAAAGCUCUUUUACCCGGGAUGAUAAUGACAGUACCUGGAGAAUAAGCUCCGGCUAACUCCGUG
rnacentral:rRNA from 1 species